ACAUCUUUUUAUGUAACUGUGCGAAGGGGCCCAAGAAGGAAGAAGCCAGACGACAAGAGGUCAUGGAUGUGUUUCAGAGUUUGUGGUAAUUUCCCCCUCAUUAAUUUCCUCUUAAUUAAAUGUGAAUGCUGGUAUGCAGCAAGAUUUAUAAGCGUAGAGGAGUUUUCAGUGUUCUUUUAGCAUUUUCAAAUAAACAAGUAUGAUCUGGUAUAAUAUGCCUAGGGACAUUCAUGUGUACAUCGUUUCUUGCCUGUCUGGGAACCCUCCCCACUUUUAUCCCCAAAUUUACUGGGGGAAUGUGGGGGAGAGGGGUGAAAAGAAAGCCUGUGGUAAGGACCAUAGCCACCAUUAGCCAGGGUGAGGCAGCCCAACACAGGCAGAAGAUUUGGGAGUAAUAAAAAAGGGGGGUAGCAAAUUGUCAAUUCCUCUGGUUCACAGCCAACAAAACUGUCCCAUUCACACAAGGACAUCUGCAAAUGGAACUUGGUUGGCUACAGCUCUUAAUUUACUGCAUUUUUAUCACCAUGAGGUAUGCCGUUUGGGAUUUUCUGCCUCAGGUAUCAAAAUGUCUUGGGCUGACUCCAGCUGUGUCAGGCAGCCACCAGCACUGCUGCUUCUAGUACAGACGGUCUAGCAACCUCCCACUAUUCAAACAGCAGGCUGUAAACAAUUUAAGCUUGCCCUCACUAAUCCCCUUCUGCUGCCCAGGAGCCAGAGUCUAUGCCACCGCCUCCUCAUUUUUCAAAGCAAGGCUAAGUCUAUGCCACAAGUACCAAAGGGCAGCGACAGUGUUGGUUUUUAAAGCCAACAGGGCUGGGGGACCAUAUUCAGCUCAAGGGGUGCAUUCCCUUGCGUGGAUAAGACCAGGGACAACAGCAGACAGAACAGUGGAAGCAGUGCCUUUGUACAGUAGGCGACACUGCAGCCACACAAGAACCAGAAGUCUCUAUACAUACUUCAGUCUUUCAUCCAGGCAAGCAAGAGGAAUCAAGAGUUCAAGGACACAUUCCAACCAGGCAAAAGCAUUCAAGAAGGAUGUAGAGCAGGGCUGGAGAGGGUAUGGGGUGGGGGCAGAGAGAGAUCCCUGGAGGGCCACAUUCAAUCCCUGCGCCUGAGCUUCCCCAUGCCUGCCUUUAGAAUAAGCUAGACACACAUCCAUAUGAAUUCUCUCUUUGUUGCAGGAGCAAUGCUGCUCAUCAGAAUCUGUAAAAAUAGGAGGAAGGGGGGGGGGUUUGCCUUUGAGAAAACAAAUGUGGCGUUGAGGUGUCUUAGCAACUAAGACGUUCAUUUUGUUCAACCAAAAAGGAUUCUUCUUAGCAAAACAAGAAGGGAAGUCAAAUCUAAGAAACCUACACCUAGUUGUUACAGAGGUGGUCAACUUCAGACAGGAGGUUGGAGUUUACAUGGGCAAAUUGGCUAUUGGGGUCUGGGAAGCUCCCUGCAUAUAGAAAAUUUGGUAUCGGGAAGAUGUCUCUCUCAUCUAGGCAGCUCACAACUAGAAGUCUGAAAUGGUACAUACCAGACAGGUCUAGCACCUCUGUGAGAAAUACAACAGUGUUGCAAGCAGAGUUGAAGCAGAAUCUUAGGCAUAUAUCCUGCAUACUCUACUUCCAUUGUGUGCACUGAAGACAACCAGGAAUCUCCAAAAGGGGUGUUGCCCCCCCUUAAAACUGCCAUACAAUAUGAUCAAAUUUCCCCCCAUGACCAUUCAGAAAUAUGGAGAGGACGAGAGAUCUCCCACAAUCACUAUUUUUAUUCUUGCUGCACUCCCCAUAGGAUGAAUAGGCAAGAUCUGUUAGGGGAGGGAGUUAUUUAAAUGUUAUGCAAUUGAGUGACUUCAAAAAUUCAUCAAAACAUAAAAGCCGCAGUUGUCUCCCAACAGGACAGAUAACUGAAAAUGCAAUAUAUACCUUGGGUAGGCCAAGGUUUUGAAAACGGUAUAAGUGCAAUUUAUUCAGAACAAAAGGCUAAACUAAUUGUAAAUAAUGUGGUGACGGAAGAAUUUAGGAUAGAAAAAGGGACAAGACAAGGUUGCCCAAUUUCCCCAUUGCUUUUUAUAUCGGUCCUGGAGGUUCUGCUGAACAUGAUUAGAAGGGACCGGUUGGUUAAAGGUAUACAGGUCGGAGCCAAACAGUACAAAUUGAGAGCAUUUGCAGAUGACUUAGUAUUGACGUUACAGGAGCCAGAAUCUAGUACCAAAAGAGUUUUAGAACUGAUUCAAGAAUUUGGUCAAGUUGCAGGAUUUAAGUUGAAUAAGUUAAAGACCAAGGUUUUAGAGAAAAAUUUAACACCAAUGGAGAGAGAGAGGUUUCAGAAUGAGACAGGUUUAACAGUGGUUAAGAAAGUUAAAUACUUGGGGAUUAACAUGACAGCAAAAAAUGGGAAUUUAUUUAAAGAUAACUAUGAAAAAUGCUGGGCUGAAGUGAAAAAAAGAUUUAGAAAUUUGGUCAAAUUUGAAGCUUUCACUGCUGGGCCAUAUUGCUGCGGUAAAAAUGAAUGUAUUGCCUAGAAUGUUGUUUUUGUUUCAAACACUGCAAAUUGUGGACAAAAUGGACUGUUUCAAGAGGUGGCAGAGAGAUAUUUCUAAAUUUGUCUGGCAGGGCAAGAAGCCUAGAAUAAAAUUUAAAAUAUUAACAGAUGCAAAGGAACGAGGUGGAUUUGCCCUGCCAGACUUUAAACUUUACUAUGAAUCAGCAGCUUUUUGCUGGUUGAAAGAAUGGUUGCUUCUUGAAAACACUGACAUUUUGGAUCUAGAAGGUUUUAACAAUGUAUUUGGAUGGCAUGCAUAUCUGUGGUAUGAUAAGGUCAAAGCACAUAAAGCAUUUAAAAAUCACAUUGUCAGGAAAGCAUUGUUUAAUGUCUGGAUAAGAUACAAGGACUUAUUGGAAAAUAAAACUCCAAGGUGGCUGUCACCGAUGGAAGCAAAAGCUCUGAAAAAGCUCAAUAUGGAGGCCAAAUGGCCGAAAUAUUGGGAAAUUUUGGAACAAGACGGAGAUAGACUGAAAUUGCAGAGUUUUGAGAAAUUAAAAAACAAAGUGCGAGAUUGGCUUCAUUAUUAUCAGAUAAUGGAGGCAUAUAAGUUGGAUAAGAAAAUUGGUUUCCAGGUGGAAAAAUCAAAAUUAGAAACAGAACUAUUAGAACCCAAAACUAAGAUUUUGUCAAAGAUGUAUAACUUGCUGUUGAAAUGGAAUACUCAGGAUGAAAUGGUGAAAUCUGUUAUGAUUAAAUGGGCACAAGAUGUCGGACAUAACAUAAUGAUGGCUGACUGGGAACAGUUAUGGACCACAGGUAUGAAGUUUACGGCAUGUAAUGCCUUAAGAGAGAAUAUUAUGAAAAUGAUAUACAGGUGGUACAUGACCCCAGUCAAGCUCGCAAAAAAUUAUCAUUUGCCUGAUAACAAAUGUUGGAAAUGUAAAGAAACUGAAGGUACAUUCUUUCACCUUUGGUGGACGUGCCCAAGGAUUAAGGCUUUCUGGGAAAUGAUAUACAAUGAACUGAAAAAGGUAUUUAAAUAUACCUUCUUGAAAAAACCAGAGGCCUUUCUCCUAGGCAUAGUCGGUCAAUUGGUGCCAAAGAAGGAUAGAACUUUUUUCAUGUAUGCCACAACAGCAGCAAGAAUACUCAUUGCAAAGUAUUGGAAGACACAAGAUCUACCCACUCUGGAAGAAUGGCAGAUGAAGUUGAUGGACUAUAUGGAACUGGCAGAAAUGACUGGCAGAAUCCGAGACCAGGGAGAAGAGUCGGUGGAAGAAGAUUGGAAGAAGUUCAAAGAUUAUCUACAGAAAUAUUGUAAAAUUAAUGAAUGUUAGAACGAUGUUGGAUAGAAAUUAAGUGGUUUCCAGCUGUAAUGCUUUAAGGGAAUAUGAAAAAUGGGUUGUUAAGAGGUAAAAAUCUAAUGUUACUAUUUUAAGACCAAAGAUUAGGACAAAUAAAGAGGGUAAGGAUUUGCUGAACCAACAAACUGAACUGGAAUACAGAAAAGGGAGGUAUGAGGAGGUCCGGGAAACAAGCUAAGGAAAAAUAAGCAAUGGAAAAAUUGAGUGGUUUUUAAUUAUUUUUAUUUUGUAUUUUCUUUUUCUUUUUCAUUUUCUAUUGUAAUAUUUAAAAAAAUCUUAAUAAAUAUCUUA